rnacentral:lncRNA from 1 species
UGGACGGACAAAGAAGACAGACAACACGCGGCUAGUUUGAUCCGUUGUGUCUAUCGUACGUUGUUCUAAGAAAGUAUUACACUCAGAGACACAUUUACACUUAUUAUAACACUAUGAGUCACUUUCUUCUACCCACACACUUUUUCUAACUAUUUGUUCAAUUUUCGUUAGGUUUUCUAACUAGAGAAACAUAACUAUAUUAUAAUUUGUGGUCCCCAUUCUCUUUUAUUCUUUUUUUUUGUAAAUUGUUUUAUCUUUAAGUAAACUAAGUUUCUCGAUCUUGAUUCAUCUCUAGUUUUUUUUUUUUGAUAAGAUUUAUUUAUCUCUGGUCUGCUAUGGUUCGCUUGAGCCACAAUCUCAACUCACGGUGAGUGAUUCACCUUCACGUACUAUGGAAGCCAGGACUGCUCCAAUUCGACGAGCUCUCCACCGGAAUCUUCAGCCGCGGCGAGCUCCUACUGCUGCGUUCUUCCUUCUCCACGAGUCUUCUUUUCCGCGGUGUCUCAUGUCCGGUGGGAAGCUUCAACGCCCUCCCCAGUUCCUCCAUCGUUGGAAUCGACAGCGACUUGACCGAGAAGCUCGUCACAGCAAUGGCCAAUUUUAGCCUUUUUGCACAUCUAGUCCUCUGAAUAAAUGUUAUUUUCACUUAGACCCUAAACUUUCGAUUGUACAGAAAUAUCCUUUGAUUUUGACCUCAAAUUUCCAAUUGUGCAUUCUAUACCUUUUCAAAUGCAAA